rnacentral:lncRNA from 1 species
CGACGAUGGCGCAAAGGAUUAGUUUCUAUUUGGAAAAGAAAAACAAUUAAUUGGCCGGAAUCAAUUGUAUGGGUUCGCUAUUGUUGGCUCUGGUCAACUCCCUUUUCAUUGGUGGUUUCUUCGCCGUUGUUGUUGAGUCUCAACAAAAUGUGAAUCCUCCGCCUCCGCCGCCGCCGGAGGUUUCACCUCCUCCACCACUACCAUCCCAAAUGCCGCCUCCACCGCUGGAGUUUUCACCACCUCCACCUAUUACUCCACCACCUCCGUCUUCUGCCCUGCCGACACAUUUUAAAUUGGGGACGGAAUGAAAUGGAAAUUAUACAGAGGUUAAAUCGAAGAAUCAACGAACAGUUUGGCAAAACAAAAGAGUUUGGCCCCAAAUAGUUGAUACCUUCAAUAAAAUUGGGAAUCAAGGUUACAUCGGAUACUUGAAUCUAUGUCAGCAUUGCAGGUAACCACCAUCCAAUUCCAGAAAUUUGGGUUUUUUUUUUCCUUAAGAUAAUUGUUUUUUUUUUUUUUUUAUAGAUUUUCUGAGUGAUCCCCUAAUCUUAGCAAUGGAAAAUUACCGGAGUAGAGAAAAGUAGGGGAUGAAGAGAGAGGGGGGAGAGAGAAAGAGAGAGAAGGCGGGAUUUAACGGUUAAUCCGAUUUAGCUUUUUUUUUUUCCGUUGAUUUGAUUCACAGCUUGAUUCUUAUUUUAAGGGGUACGAUCCCCAUUAAAACAUCUUGAGACACUGAUCCCCUCAUCAAGUACAUCACGCACAAUACUAAAUGUAACAAUAUACAAGCAAUGCGUCAAACUAAUGACAAUGUCAAAUAAUAUAAUUGUCAAAUGAAGUAGUAGUGGGCAUACACAUCUACACCAAGUAUGAAGACACUGAAAAUAUCAUCUACAAACAUCAUUCUCUACAUCGGUGCCCGCAUCAUCAACAUCCUCUACUUCUUCUCCCUCAUCGAGAAUGCUCGGCUCCAUCCGUGGGAUGAUGUCCUUAUCCAUCCCACCCGCAUCACGAAGGUGAGACAACUCGCCCAACAUCUCUAUCCCACGCCCAGACAACUCCCACGAGGAGACAACUUGCUCAGACCCCCAGAGUCACUUGAUGAACUUGACUUGUCGUUAUAUCUCCCAAAAUCUACUACUUGGGAUCUAUAACGUCAACUACUAGUCAUCAUAAUGGCGCCGUAUGUUGGAAUGCAUACAUGAUCACGUAGCGCGCAUGAGGUCCCUGAGUCAUCUACUCGGAAAGAACGUGACAAUGCUAACAACCUCCCACUUCGCGGAGGCUUUAGCUUGCCACUUCCUCCUCGUAAUUAGGAUCCACCUCGUGAUCUCCAGAUAAAACCGCCGCAGGAUCCACCACUCCCCGCUCCUCAAACGGUUAAGAUAACCGAAGAGGCCCUUCAAAAAUUGAUUGCAGAAGCUUUAGUUCGUGUUGACACAGAAAUAGUGGCACAAUACAUCACCACAUCGAGAGUCAACACUCUCCCUGCAGCUCCACCCGUGGCACAACGACCUCCACCACCACUGGAUACGGCGUCCACCUCAAACUCUAGGUCUCGGAAGCAACAAUCUACUCAUCACUAUGACGCACAAACUAGGCGACAAGACCCAAGUUCACCUUUAAGAAGCAACACCUCUCGCUGAUGAGCUCCACAAUGAUGUGGAGAUAUGAAAUUAACAGUCGAAUAUCUCGCUUGCAUCACCUUCCCCACAUAGGUAAUCCUAUUGGUGGAAGGGCAAUACCUCCAAUAAGCCGAAGUCCCUUCACCGUCGCAAUAAUCAAUGAGAUACUACCCCGACGGGUAAAUGUAUCGAGUGUACCGCAGUUCGAUGGAACUAGUGACCCACACGAGCACCUCGAAAAGUUCUACGUCAUGGCAGAUCUAUGUGGCCCAACUGAUGCGGCGAUGUGCAAGAUGUUUCGCACAACUCUCUCCAAACGAGCAUUGAGCUGGUUCAACUCCUUGCCCACUAGGUCAAUUGAAGCCCUUUCCCAACUGACGAAUCGCUUCACCCACCAUUUCUCUAACUACAAAGAGUACGCUAAGACUCCCGCGUACCAUUUCACUAUCACCCAAAGAGGGCGAAACCCUCUGCAACUACAUUAAACGAUUUGUAGAGGCAGCUCACGAAGUUCCUAAUGUGGGAGGAAACAUAUUUUUUGGAAUCAUUCAACAAAAUUUGAAGCAAGGUAGAUUCAAGGAAUCUAUUACAUGAAGACCUCCAGACCCUGGAAGAGUUAUUAAAUCGCAGUGAGAAACACGCGCGCAUCAAAGAAGCUUCGUCCCUCGCUCCUCCUUAGAGGAAAAGAGAUAAAGAUCACUUCAACACCCGGCGACGAGAUGGCCAACGACAAUCGUUGACAUCUCAUUGCCAAUCUCAUUCUACAUCCCUGGACUUCCAAUGAUGUCAAUGACACUUGGAGUCUCUCGAACCCAUUACAUUGUUAGUAAUCGCAUCAUCCUAAACUGGGGGACUAUCCUACCUUAAGGAUGAUGCAUCCCCUCACCUCUCUACAUCAAUUCGACGAAACACCUACAUCAUCUACGUAGUACAAGUUUAGUUAUUUAGAUCCCUACUUGUUUAGUUACCUUGGUCUCAUGUAGGCGUGUAACCUUCACAUUUUCAAUCAAUGAAUAAAGCAAGUUAUUUCCCCUACUCUUGGUGUUAUUGCUCUGUCACUACAUAAUUAUUAGCUCAAGUCAACAUUAACCCUGAGAACACUUUGGGAUGUUAUGAUAAUCUAUAUAGUCUGGCCAGCUUGAUUUUAUAAACUUCUCCAUAUGUCGUCAUUGGGUCCUCCUACAUUUAAAAUGUGGCAACGGUCCUAACAAACUUACGACCCUUGAGGUCUCAUUUUUUUUCCCUAUCGAAGAUUUCAUUUUUGUUUUAAGAAUAAGAAUUUGAAAUGAAACCAGAUGCUGCGAUGAUGGCGCAAGGGAUUAGUUUCUAUUUGGAAAAGAAAAACAAUUAAUUGGCCGGAAUCAAUUGUAUGGGUUCACUAUUGUUGGCUUUGGUCAUCUCCCUUUUCAUUGGUGGUUUCUUCGCCGUUGUUGUUGAGUCUCAACAAAAUGUGAAUCCGCCGCCGCCGCCGCCGGGGGUUUCACCUCCUCCACCACUACCAUCCCAUUUGCCGCCUCCACCACCGGAGUUUUCACCACCUCCACCUAUUACUCUACCACCUCCGUCUUCUACCCUGCCAACCUUUUUGAAAUUGGGGACGUCUUUGAAAAGG